GUGCUCUGCUGGUCAGAGGACACGAAGGUGAAUCCAGGAAUCCCUGCACAUUCCAGAGACAGAGGCAGAAGGAGGCAAUCAGGGCUGGAGAGACUGUAAUGUGUGAGAUGUUGAGAGUGAGGUGUUGAUCUUAGGCAGGAUAAGUAGGAAUUAUCCAGGUGUGUUUUAGUUAGGGUUACUGUUGCUUUGAUACAUCAUGACCAAGACAACCUGUGGAAGAAAGGGUUUAUUUCAGCUUAUACUUGCAGGCCCAUCACUGAAGAAGUCUAGGCAGGAACUGAUUGACACACCUCCUCUAACAAGACCACAUCUCCUAAUCCUGUCCAAACAGUUAUUCCAGCUGGGAUCAGGGACUAAAACCUAUAAACCUGUGGGGGGCCAUUCUCAUCCAAACCACCACAGUGAAAGAGAUUGGACCUUCGUUCUGAAGGCAAUGAAAGAAUUUCACAGGUGCUUUAAAAGCUUUCAAAGAAUGUCUUAAGGUAGUAGUUACAAAAUUAAAAGCAAUUAAAAAUCAUCAGACACUGAACAGUCACUCAAAAUAAACAUAGCUGUGUAAAGGACUCCAAG
ensembl:antisense